CCCUUAGAUGUUCUGGGCCGCACGCGUGCUACACUGAUGCAUUCAACGAGUCUAAAACCUGGUCUGAUAGGGCUGGGUAAUCUUUUGAAAGUGCAUCGUGAUUGGGAUAGAUGAUUGCAAUUCUUCAUCUUCAACGAGGAAUGCCUAGUAAACGCAAGUCAUCAGCUUGCGUUGAUUACGUCCCUGCCCUUUGUACACACCGCCCGUCGCUCCUACCGAUUGAAUGAUCCGAUGAAUACCAUGGAUUGAGAGUACGAAUAGGUUCGCUUAUUUCUGCUGCUCGAGAAGUGGAGUAAAUCUUAUCAUUUAGAGGAAGGAGAAGUCGCAACA
rnacentral:rRNA from 1 species